rnacentral:misc_RNA from 1 species
UUUUGAUAUAUCAUGUCUAGCCUAAAUAUUCCAAAAAGAGCAAGUACAUCACAAAGUAAAAACUCACAUCAAUAGUGCUUUGUCCCCCUCUCCCACAACUACUUACUGAUGUUCUGUGACCAGGAUAAAAUAUUACAAUACAUGAAACAAAUUGCAUAAUUGCCAAAAAAGAUUAAGGGCUAUGAAUGGGACAAUUUGGCUUACAAAUAAGUAGAAAUCAACAACAUGAGAAAAAACAAAAAUUCAAUAGCCAAACUAAUUGCAAAAUUGUAUUUCAAUGCGAGACAAAUUUCAAAUCCCAAGAUAUAAUUAAACCAUCAAGAAACAAACCUUGCAGAAGAAACUUUUUUUCCCAAGGCUAGAAAUUAGGAGUUUUUUCUUGCUUCUGCGUCAUGGUUUCUCCAUGGAUUCAGUGCUUCUCUGAUUGCCAGAGCUUCAGGGGAGCUCUCCCAAGCCCGAUUCUCAGACUCCAGAACAGUCACUUUAUUAUAGAAUCCGGUCUUGAUCAUGAACAGCUCCAUGGAAGCUCCAAUUAAAGCAGAACCGAUCGCUAUUUUCACAUACCAAUCCAGA